CUACGGGAGGCUCCAGUGGGGAAUUUUGGACAAUGGGCGCAAGCCUGAUCCAGCCAUGCCGCGUGAGUGAAGAAGGCCUUCGGGUUGUAAAGCUCUUUCAGCCGGAAAGAAAUUGCUUCUAUUAAUACUAGGAGUAGAUGACGGUACCGGAAGAAGAAGCACCGGCUAACUACGUGCCAGCAGCCGCGGUAAUACGUAGGGUGCGAGCGUUAAUCGGAAUUACUGGGCGUAAAGCGUGCGCAGGCGGCUUUUUAAGCCAGAUGUGAAAUCCCCGGGCUUAACCUGGGAACUGCAUUUGGAACUGGAAGGCUGGAGUGUAGCAGAGGGGGGUAGAAUUCCACGUGUAGCAGUGAAAUGCGUAGAGAUGUGGAGGGAUACCGAUGGCGAAGGCAGCCCCCUGGGCUAACACUGACGCUCAUGCACGAAAGCGUGGGGAGCAAACAGGAUUAGAUACCCGGGUAGUC
rnacentral:rRNA from 1 species